rnacentral:rRNA from 1 species
UUUUAUGGAGAGUUUGAUCCUGGCUCAGAGUGAACGCUGGCGGCGUGCCUAAUACAUGCAAGUCGAACGAUGAAGCUUCUAGCUUGCUAGAAGUGGAUUAGUGGCGCACGGGUGAGUAAGGUAUAGUUAAUCUGCCCUACACAAGAGGACAACAGUUGGAAACGACUGCUAAUACUCUAUACUCCUGCUUAACACAAGUUGAGUAGGGAAAGUUUUUCGGUGUAGGAUGAGACUAUAUAGUAUCAGCUAGUUGGUAAGGUAAUGGCUUACCAAGGCUAUGACGCUUAACUGGUCUGAGAGGAUGAUCAG